UGGGGAAUAUUGGACAAUGGGCGAAAGCCUGAUCCAGCCAUGCCGCGUGAGUGACGAAGGCCUUAGGGUUGUAAAACUCUUUCGUCGGGGACGAUAAUGACGGUACCCGAAGAAGAAGCUCCGGCUAACUUCGUGCCAGCAGCCGCGGUAAUACGAAGGGAGCUAGCGUUGUUCGGAAUUACUGGGCGUAAAGGGCGCGUAGGCGGCCCUCUAAGUCAGACGUGAAAUCCCCCGGCUUAACCUGGGAACUGCGUCUGAUACUGGAGGGCUUGAGUAUGGGAGAGGGAUGUAGAAUUCCAGGUGUAGCGGUGAAAUGCGUAGAUAUCUGGAGGAAUACCGGUGGCGAAGGCGGCAUCCUGGACCAUUACUGACGCUGAGGCGCGAAAGCUAGGGGAGCAAACGGGAUUAGAUACCCCAGUAGUCCCUGAGCGGGCUGGCAAGGCGCAU
rnacentral:rRNA from 1 species